rnacentral:rRNA from 1 species
GUCUAUGGCCAUACCACCCAGAACGCGCCCGAUAUCAUCUGAUCUCAGAAGCUAAGCAGGGUAGGGCCUGGUUAGUACUUGGAUGGGAGAAAAGAAGCCCAGGAAUGAGAUGGAAA